AUAAACAAAAUAUUUAUCUUUGAAGAAAUUAUGUUUAUAUCUUAAUAAUUUGUAGUUUAUUUACACACAGAUAUGUUUAUGUUCAUAGCUACUAUAGGUAUCAAUUAUACUUUAACAAAUAUAAUUUAAUAUUUUUAUAUUAUACACCAUUCAAUUAUAUUAUUAUCAUUAAUUCUUUUUGUGUCAAUAUUUAAACAAUAAAAACAUUUGAUAAAAUUUUAUAAAAGCAAAUGUUUACUUUUAUUUAAUGAUUAUUAUUUUUCAUCAUGAAUAUUUAGACGAAGCGCACACCUAGGUGGUGGUGAGUUGUGCGACUCGGCGUUGCGGAAUACGCUGCAAAUGCAAGCCAAAGCACACUUGGGAUUUACAGUUUCAGCACAGUGAAUAGAUACUACUAUCUACACCCUAAGACCGUGUGAUUGUUAGAAUACUAAUAUUAUACUAACAUUUUUAAUGUUGUUUUGUUUUUUUAAAACAACAAAUACAAUUUAUUAUUUUAUAUAUAUUUUUAAGUCCUAAAUAUAGUCUUUAUAUAGCAAUUAUGUUGAGUUCAGAUGAUGAGCAUUCAGCAUUAUCGUUGUUGCUAAGUAAUAAUGAAAUAGAAAAAACAAAACUAUUGGGUGCAACCGUACCAUAAAAAAUUGAUGACUUUUUGGGAAUCGGAUAAAUUCAUGAUAAAAUAGAAAAAAAUUACUCGAUUCGACCGAGCAUUAACUACAAAUGAGCGGUUGUUAAUUACAUUGAGUUAAAGUUGUUUUAAAUACUUGAUAC